UCUCCUUUUUUCUCUUGGAUUGAUUCCCAUCAGAGAAUGUCUUGAGACACAACCGAAUUCGUAGACGGGCUCUUCCCACGUUGUUUCCAAUUAGCGGAUGUGACGCAGGAGGGCCUAUUUAGUGCUGGUGUGUGAGUCAUUUAGCCGCCACAAUCGAAUGAACUGCUUUGGGUUCCUGAACCUGGUAGUGCUUUUUAAAUCGUGAAAAAACUUUUACUGGCAAACAUGUCUGGUUUUCUGCGGCUAUUGUUGAGUCGUCGACCUCGACUUAUUUCCAAAGCAAAUGUGGCGACACCGCAACGAGCCAACUACAUUAUCAGCAAACCAGCCAAAGACCACAUCGGAGUCGUCGAGACCAUCGGGGUGAUGACCGUUAUGUGUUUGGCCAUCCUUGGACCGUCCGGAUGGAUCCUGGUCCACAUUAAGGACUACCGAAAGGGCGAGUGAAGGAAGCGGCAGACCACGUUUUAAAACGAGAUGAUUUGACCUAGUGUUGAUGUUCUACAAUAAAAUUGAUACUUUACCAUUGG